AUUGAACGCUGGCGGCAUGCCUUACACAUGCAAGUCGAACGGCAGCACGGGAGCAAUCCUGGUGGCGAGUGGCGAACGGGUGAGUAAAGUAUCGGAACGUGCCCAGUCGUGGGGGAUAACGUAGCGAAAGGUACGCUAAUACCGCAUACGAUCUAUGGAUGAAAGCGGGGGAUCGCAAGACCUCGCGCGAUUGGAGCGGCCGAUAUCAGAUUGGGUAGUUGGUGGGGUAAAGGCUCACCAAGCCGACGAUCUGUAGCUGGUCCGAGAGGACGACCAGCCUCACUGGGACUGAGACACGGCCCAGACUCCUACGGGAGGCAGCAGUGGGGAAUUUUGGACAAUGGGCGAAAGCCUGAUCCAGCCAUGCCGCGUGCAGGAUGAAGGCCUUCGGGUUGUAAACUGCUUUUGUACGGAACGAAAAGGUUUGGCCUAAUAAGCUGAGCUCAUGACGGUACCGUAAGAAUAAGCACCGGCUAACUACGUGCCAGCAGCCGCGGUAA
rnacentral:rRNA from 1 species